rnacentral:misc_RNA from 1 species
GAUGAAGAACGUAGCGAAAUGCGAUACUUGGUGUGAAUUGCAGAAUCCCGUGAACCAUCGAGUCUUUGAACGCAAGUUGCGCCCGAAGCCAUUAGGCCGAGGGCACGCCUGCCUGGGCGUCACACGUCGUUGCCCCCCCAUCUACUCCUUCGGGAUUGCGGGGGGCGGAUGAUGGCCUCCCAUGCGCCUCGUCGCGCGGUUGGCAUAAAUGCCAAGUCCUCAGCGACGCACGCCACGACAAUCGGUGGUUGCGAAACCUCGGUUGCCCGUCGUGUGCGGUCGUCGCGCAUCGAGGGCUCGAAAAAAUUGCCGGGCUCCGGCUCGGCUUUCAACGCGACCCUAGGUCAGGCGGGGUUACCCGCUGAAUUUAAGCAUAUCAAAAGCGGAGGA